rnacentral:rRNA from 1 species
GAUGAACGCUGGCGGCGUGCCUAAUACAUGCAAGUCGAGCGAACAGAUGAGGAGCUUGCUCCUCUGACGUUAGCGGCGGACGGGUGAGUAACACGUGGAUAACCUACCUAUAAGACUGGGAUAACUUCGGGAAACCGGAGCUAAUACCGGAUAAUAUAUUGAACCGCAUGGUUCAAUAGUGAAAGACGGUUUUGCUGUCACUUAUAGAUGGAUCCGCGCCGCAUUAGCUAGUUGGUAAGGUAACGGCUUACCAAGGCAACGAUGCGUAGCCGACCUGAGAGGGUGAUCGGCCACACUGGAACUGAGACACGGUCCAGACUCCUACGGGAGGCAGCAGUAGGGAAUCUUCCGCAAUGGGCGAAAGCUUGACGGAGCAACGCCGCGUGAGUGAUGAAGGUCUUCGGAUCGUAAAACUCUGUUAUUAGGGAAGAACAAAUGUGUAAGUAACUAUGCACGUCUUGACGGCACCUAAUCAGAAAGCCACGGCUAACUACGUG